GCUCACUUUGGCAGCACAUUUAUUAAAAUUGGAAUGUACAGAGAAGAUUAGCAUGGCUUCUGAGCUAGGUUGAGAUGCAAAUUCGUGAAGCUUUCCAUAUUUCU